GACGAACGCUGGCGGCGUGCUUAACACAUGCAAGUCGAACGGAAAGGCCCUGCUUUUGUGGGGUGCUCGAGUGGCGAACGGGUGAGUAACACGUGAGUAACCUGCCCUUGACUUUGGGAUAACUUCAGGAAACUGGGGCUAAUACCGGAUAGGAGCUCCUGCUGCAUGGUGGGGGUUGGAAAGUUUCGGCGGUUGGGGAUGGGCUCGCGGCUUAUCAGCUUGUUGGUGGGGUAGUGGCUUACCAAGGCUUUGACGGGUAGCCGGCCUGAGAGGGUGACCGGCCACAUUGGGACUGAGAUACGGCCCAGACUCCUACGGGAGGCAGCAGUGGGGAAUAUUGCACAAUGGGCGGAAGCCUGAUGCAGCAACACCGCGUGCGGGAUGACGGCCUUCGGGUUGUAAACCGCUUUCGCCUGUGACGAAGCGUGAGUGACGGUAAUGGGUAAAGAAGCACCGGCUAACUACGUG
rnacentral:rRNA from 1 species